rnacentral:rRNA from 1 species
GCCUACGGGGGGCAGCAGUGGGGAAUAUUGCACAAUGGGGGAAACCCUGAUGCAGCAACGCCGCGUGAGUGAAGAAGUAUUUCGGUAUGUAAAGCUCUAUCAGCAGGGAAGAAGAUGACGGUACCUGAGUAAGAAGCCCCGGCUAACUACGUGCCAGCAGCCGCGGUAAUACGUAGGGAGCAAGCGUUGUCCGGAUUUACUGGGUGUAAAGGGUGCGUAGGCGGCCUUGCAAGUCAGAAGUGAAAUCCAUGGGCUUAACCCGUGAACUGCUUUUGAAACUGUAGGGCUUGAGUGAAGUAGAGGCA